rnacentral:rRNA from 1 species
UACGUAGGUGGCAAGCGUUGUCCGGAUUUACUGGGCGUAAAGAGCGCGCAGGCGGUCGUUCAAGUCGCGUGUGAAAGCCCCCGGCUCAACUGGGGAGGGUCACGCGAUACUGAUCGACUCGAAGGCAGGAGAGGGUAGUGGAAUUCCCGGUGUAGUGGUGAAAUGCGUAGAUAUUGGGAAGAACACCUGAGGCGAAGGCGGGUUGCUGGGCCGACACUGACGCUGAGGCGCGAAAGCUAGGGGAGCGAACGGGG